GAAGCCAGGCCAAGAAGAAUCCCAGGACUGGAAGGCCUUGUGGGACGUCCCAGGUUUGUCUUGUGUCAAUAGCACUGAUACUCAAUCUCCUACUCCCAUCUGUGAGCAUGCAGACCCUACUUGCCUUCCCACAGCCUCCCUUUUCAUAUUUUUCAUGUUUCUUUAGCUCUGUCUUCAAGCCUUGUUGCUCCCGCAAAAAAACCUGCCUCUUCCUCCAGUCCUCCCAAGCAGGGGGAACAGUCCUGACACCUUUCCAAGCCCUGGUCCAUGGACAUUGUGCCCCCUUCUCCCUGCCCAUGGUGACCUGCUCCAAAACCCUCAAGGAGAAGGGAGUGUAUGUCAUUUCCUCCCUGUAAAGUAAAGAUAAUUUUGCAGGGGACUGUGUGGAUGAAAUGACAUGAUGCAUGGAAAUCCCUUAGCGUGUGCCUGGCAUGUAAACUGCAGGUGUCAUCAUUAUUACUGAGGAAUACUGAGUCCCGAACAUGGCUGUCUCAUUGGUGGACUGGGGUCUCCCCCAGGGCAUUCAUCUACUAUGUGUUUAUUGCACCCUUUUUCCAUGUGAGGCACAUGCCAGGGACUGGGCACAUGGUAUGAACAAGACACAGGUCAUCGGUGUCCUCUUGAGCUCCCUGGCUUGGCAGCAGAUGCAUACCUGGGAAGGAUGCUAGGUCAUCCGGGAACUCUACCUCCUUCAAAUCCCUAAGGACUGUGCUCCCAAUCCGCUUACGCUCAAGGAAGAACUGGAAGGCCCAGAACCAGCCUGCUGUCAGGAUCAGAACAAAAGAGGAGGACUGCAUAUGUAUGGACCCACUCCAGAUGGCACGGGGACGGGGGGAGUAGGAAAAGUGGCAUGGUCCCUUCCCGUGGAUAUAAUUCUUCCCAGGCCUGUUGUGUGAGUUGGUGAUGCCAUCAUUCCUGCCUCACACUUGCAAACUUCCCUCUUUGGAAUUUCAGAGACCAGGCCCACAGAGUAUGGCUGUGCAAGUUGUUCACUCUACAAGGGCACCUGGCCGGGGUCUUACCUUGAAUGGAGGAGAAGAGCUUGAAGAUGAGGGGACAGGCCAAGACAACUACCUGGCCCCGAGGGGUGGCUGGCCAGCAGAUGAGGAAAUGGAGGCACAGACUGAUUAGAAAACCAGCUCAAGGUCAUGUUGCUGGGCUCUCUGGUGGAGCCUCUGUCUCACAGGUCACCUGCAGGCCAACACUCCCAGAAGCAGCUAGCACCAUGGUUGACCUCGUCCAGGUCCAGGGAAGGCCUCCCUCUCCAGGACUCCUUUAGAUUUCCCCAGCAUCCAGACCUCACCUGCCUAAGUGCUGUUGCCCUGGAAGCCACAGUGAGCACGAGCUCCAUCUUGCACCUUUACCAGCCAAUGGGGGUAAAGACAUUAGCUGAAAUACUUCUAAGGGGCCAGGCGUGGUGACUCAUGCUUGUAAUUCCAAGCACUUUGGGAGGCUGAGGCAGGUGGAUCACCUGAAGCCAGGAGUUCAAGAGCAGCCUGGCCAACAUGGCGAAACCCUGUCUCUACUAAAAAUACAAAAUUUAGCCAGGCAUGGUGGCGGGAGCCUGUAAUCUCAGCUCCUAGGGAGGCUGAGCCAGAAGAAUCGCUUAAACCUGGAAGCUGGAGGUUGCAGUGAGCCAAGAUCACACCACCACACUCCAGCCUGGGUGACAGAGCAAGACUCCAUCUCAAAAAGAAAAAAAAGAAAAAAAGGAAAUACUUCUAAGUUAUGUGAGAGAGUACAUACUGACAUUUUCAAUGGGUACAAUAA
rnacentral:lncRNA from 1 species